ensembl:lncRNA
AGUCACAGGAGCCCCAGUUUCAUUGUGUUUGGCAGUGUAGAGAGAUCAAAAUAUUGUGUGGAGAGAUCAGAGUGAUGUCAGAACAAAGUUAACUAGGUUUACACACAAAGAAACCCAUAUGGAAAAGAAAAAACUUAUAAAAGACUUGCAUAAGAUGUGGCCUACUUCAUAUAGUGAAUCAUAUAAGGCUUAUAUGAUUUACUCAUGAAAGUGGCCACUUUCUCAUUACUUUCAUAUAUUGUUUUAGGAAGUAUCCAAAACAUAAGUUUCAUUUAUAUAAUUUUUCAAGGGAUUUUAUAUCUGUUUUCACUCUUGUAUGCUUUUCAUACAAGUUUCACACAAGACGGAUACAAACUUUGUAAGAUUUAUAUAUAUCUUUUCCAUAUGGGAAGCACUCAUAGAAAAAUCAAGAAACAUUAAUGAAUCUCCAUCUUUAAGUUCCAAAAUCCUACAAACAUUGAUUGCAUUGAGGGGGGGGGGGGAAUUCAUUUCUUAGAUCACAUGCUAAGAAGUGACAAAGUCUCCAACAUUCAGUGAAAAACAAAACAAAACAAAAAACAGAAAAAAGACUACACAUCAAAAGUGACAGUGCAAUUGUAAAAAAGGCAGCACAGCAUAGGUUUCACAUAUCUAUCUAAAGGAUAAUGUAGAUGUUUGUCCAAAAUGUACUCGCCACGUUUAGUAACAACCAAAUACAGCAAACCAACCCAACACAAACACCUCAUACCAACUGUAAAGCACAGUGGUGGAGAGGUGAUGAUUUGGGCUUCUUUUACAGUGACAGAACCUGGACACCUUGCAAUCACUGUCGAGUUGACUGUAAACUCCUCUGUGUACCAAAUCGUUCUGGGGUCAAAAGAGAGGUCUGACAGCUAAAGCUUGUGCCAGACUGAGUCGUGAUAGAACAGGAGUGGCCAAAUCCAGGCCUCAAGAGCCGGUGUCCUGCAGGUUUUAGAUGUGUGCUUGAUCCAUCACAGCUGAUUUAAAUGGCUAAAUUACCUCCUCAACAUUUCAAGUUCUCCAGAGGCCUGGAACUAAUCAUUUGAUUCAGGUGUGUUGACU